CUUUAUUCAUAUACCCUAUAAUGGCUAAUGGAGACUCUUCAUCGAUCAUUCAGUUGUCUGCUGCUGGUGGGAUGUGCGGCGGGUUAGGCUUUGGUUUGGGCUCCGGCUUGGGUUCAGGCUUUGGUUUUGGUUCAGGCUUAGGCUCCGGUUUGGGUUCUGGUUUCGGCUUGGGCUCGGGCUUUGGUUCAGGUUUAGGCUUAGGCUCAGGCUUAGGUAGUGGUUCGGGUUUUGGUUCCGGCUUCGGCUCAGGCUUAGGCUCGGGUUUUGGUUUGGGCUCGGGCUUAGGCUCUGGUUUGGGUAGUGGUUCUGGUUUUGGUUCUGGCUUGGGCUCGGGCUUAGGCUCUGGUUUGGGCAGUGGCUCUGGCUUUGGCUCUGGUUUUGGCAAUGGUUUGGGCUUUGGUUCCGGCUUGGGCUCAGGCUUAGGCUCUGGUUUUGGUAGUGGUUCAGGUUUUGGUUCCGGCUUGGGUUCAGGCUUAGGCUCGGGCUUUGGUUCCGGCUUGGGCUCAUGCUUAGGUUGCAGUGGUUCGGGUAUGGGUUCUGUGCUUGGGUUCAGGCUUAGUGCUCGGUGCUUUGGGUAUCGUGCUUGGGCUCAGGCUUAGGCUCCGGUAUCGGCAUCGGUUCGGGCUUUGGUUCUGGCUAGGGCUCAGGCUUAGGCUCAGGUUUUGGUUUUGGCAUGGGCUCAGGUUUUGGUUCAGGCUUAGGCUCCGGCUUAGGCUCAGGCUUAGGUUUUGGUUCUGGCUUGGGCUCCGGUUUUGGCAGUGGUUCAGGCUUGGGCUCAGGCUCGGGUUUUGGUUCAGGCUUAGGCUCAGGUUUUGGCUUUG
rnacentral:lncRNA from 1 species